UUGAUCUCAAAUCAGGUAGGAGUACCCGCUGAACUUAAGCAUAUCG
rnacentral:rRNA from 1 species